rnacentral:lncRNA from 1 species
CUGGCACCUCGCUCCUGGGCAGCAGAGAAGGACAAGGACCCUUGACCCAGAGCCCUCAGAGCCUCUCGAGCAGCAGGUUCCCAGCAGGGUCCAGCUGGAAGUGGGAGCUCAGCAAACACCAGUGGAGUGGGUCACAUGCCAGGGCCACCAAACCCUUCACAGGGGCCACUCCAGUCCACACCCCAGUGCCCCAGUAUAAAAUUCCCAGUCCCAGCAGCCAGGCUGGGUUGGGAAUGGGAGGAGAAGGAGGAAGAGGAGGAAGAGGAGGAGGAGGAGGAGGCAGCCAUGGAGAGCAGCAUGAAGCAGGUGGUGUUUGAAGAGGAGGACUCGGGGAACGGCUGCUGCUGCCCGGGCUGCUGCCUGCCCUGCGCCACGUGCUGCGCCAAAUGCUGCACCAGAUGCAGCGUGUGCUGCGCCAAAUGCUGCACCAGGUGCGGCAUGUGCUGCGCCAGGUGCUGCUGCCUGCCCAAGUGCUGCCGGUGCCCCAAGUGCCCCAAGUGCCCCAAGUGUCCCGGCUGCGGCAGCUGCUCCGGCUGCCUCAUGAAGUCGCUGUGCUUCGUCCCUCGGCUGCUCUGCUACCUGCCCCGCAAGCUCCUGAGCUGCUGCCACCUGCGCUGUCUGCUGAUCGUGGUGGUCGUGGUGGUGCUGCUGGUGCUCAUCAUCGCCGCCGCCCUGCUGAUGCGGCUCAGCGUCGAUCAGAGCCGCGGCGACACCGUGAGUGCGGAUCCCCCCAAAUGCCGUCAGCAGGGACCCCCCGAUGCCCGGGGGGAGGGGUCGUUGAAGCCUCUGAGAUCCCCCCCCCCCCCGCUCCUGAGCUGCUGCCACCUGCGCUGCCUGCUGAUCGUGGUGGUCGUGGUGGUGCUGCUGGUGCUCAUCAUCGCCGCCGCCCUGCUGAUGCGGCUCAGCGUCGAUCAGAGCCGCGGCGACACCGUGAGUGCGGAUCCCCCCAAAUGCCGUCAGCAGGGACCCCCCGAUGCCCGGGGGGAGGGGUCGUUGAAGCCUCUGAGAUCCCCCCCCCCCCCCCCCCCCCCCCCCCCCCCCCCCCCCCCCCCCCCCCCCCCCCCCCCCCCCCCCCCCCCCCCCCCCCCCCCCCCCCCCCCCCGAGGGGGAGAUGGGAUGGAGCUGAGCCGGGUUUGGCUGCCAACAGCUGCUGGUGAGCUACAGAGCCCGGCUGCACCGCGCCUGCUACGUGACCCGCGUGGACAAGGACAACAUCCCGGGGCUGGACACCGUGCUCGGCACCUUCCAGCGCCGGCAGGCUGAGGACAGGAUCUCCGUGCCCCUGGCUGACCGCUCCCUCCUGGGCACCACGGCGAGCAUCCUCUGCAGCCUCCUCCCUGUUUAUUGGGCUUAAAACCCCCAGGGUGGGCAGGGGGACCCCCGCGGCAUCGGGGGACCCCCACCCACCCGGCAGCCCCUCCCAGCGCCAGCUUUGCCUUGCAGCAUCCCCGACAGCCCCCCCCCCCCCCCCCCCCCCCCCCCCCCCCCCCCCCCCCCCCCCCCCCCCCCCCCCCCCCCCCCCCCCCCCCCCCCCCCCCCCCCCCCCCCCCCCCCCCCCCCCCCCCCCCCCCCCCCCCCCCCCCCCCCCCCCCCCCCCCCCCCCCCCCCCCCCCCCCCCCCCCCCCCCCCCCCCCCCCCCCCCCCCCCCCCCCCCCCCCCCCCCCCCCCCCCCUUUUUUNNNNNNNNNNNNNNNNNNNNNNNNNNNNNNNNNNNNNNNNNNNNNNNNNNNNNNNNNNNNNUCGGGGGCGGGGCGGGGGUGUCAGCGCUGCGCCGGGGGACAUCUGGUUUGUCACUUAAGUCUUCUCAGCUUCGCCAAAACCCAAGUGCAAAAAUGAGCUUAAAAAAAACCCAUGACAUUUAAAGAAAACACAAUUCUCUGUUCCAGUUCUUCGCGCUUCGCCAAAACCCAAGUGCAAAAAUGAGCUUAAAAAAAACCCAUGACAUUUAAAGAAAACACAAUUCUCCGUUCCAGUUCUUCGCUCCCGCCUUCCCCCUGCCUUCAAAACGUCUUCAGGGGCUCCGAGCUUGGAUUUUGGGGGGAUUUCUGUCUCUGGGGGGGUCGCUGGAGGGGCUGCCUGACCUGAGCUGCCCCAUCCUGCUGCCAGAGCCAGGCCGGCCUGAAAAAUGGGUCUGUGCUCUGCCGGGAGGAAUGAAGGAAUAAAGGAAAAAAGGAAUAAAGGAGCAGGGCAGGAACCAGGUCUGGGAGCUAUUCCUGGACACAGCCUGAGCCACCAGACACUGCCCGAGGACAGGGAUCGUUAGCACCGGGGUGAUUUAGGUGCUGCUGGGAUCAGCACUCAUCAGGAUCAGGCCUGAUAAGAAUUGGGAAUUAUUAGGAUUUUUUGGGAUCAGGCAUUAUUAAGCUCAGGUGUUAUUAGGAAUGUUGGUGCUAUCAGGAUCAGGAAUUAUUAGGAUCGAGUUGUUGGUGUUCUCAGGAUUUUUUAGGACUGGGAUACUGGUGUUAUUGGGAUCAGACAUUAAUAGGACUGAGAUGCUGGCACUAUAAGGAUCAGGAUUUUAUUAAGAUCAGGCUUUAUUAGGAUGGGAUUCUGGCAUUAUUAGGACCAGGAGUUAUUGGGACCAGGAGCCUGGGGCUGACAGGAGGAACAGGGACCAGCCCUUCCAAACCCCCUGGGAAUGGGAGCCCAAAGCUGCCUCGAAGUGGGGACCACCAGCCCCCCACACCCCCACACCUGGAUCCAGCCCCCAUUCCCACUCCUGGCACCAGGGAAGCUGCUCCUGCCGGGACAGCACAGCUGGGAUUUGGGGCAUCCAUCCAGGGCCUCCUGCAGCUCUGGGGUGUCCCCUCCCAAACCCUCCCUGACCCCCCCAGACCCCCUCAGCCUCCCAGGCAAGGCUGGAGCAGAUGGAGGAGGUGACAGAAAGUUGGCAGGACCGCCAGGUCCUUGUGCAAUAAUUCCAGUAUCCCCAUUUCCGGAGGUUUGCAGCACAGCGGGGACCUCAGAGGUCCUGGCAGGGGAAAUCAGAGCAAAACCCCCCCAGGAGGGCUGGGAGUGGGGAAUCCCAUCCCUGGGAAGAGGAGGUGCCACCAUCCAGCCCCGCUGGGCUGUGUCACUCUGGCCACAGGGGACAAUCCCCUGCACAGGGGGGUCUCCAAAGGGGUCACUGGGAGAAAAGCUCCUGGGAACACCCCGAGUUUUGCUGUGGAGGAUUUGGGGAUGGAAGGCACGGAGAGAUGAGGAUGGAAUGCUC